rnacentral:rRNA from 1 species
UACGAAGGGGGCUAGCGUUGCUCGGAAUUACUGGGCGUAAAGGGCGCGUAGGCGGCACUGUUAGUCAGGCGUGAAAGUCCUGGGCUCAACCUGGGAACUGCGCUUGAUACGGCAGAGCUAGAGGAUGGAAGAGGGUCGCGGAAUUCCCAGUGUAGAGGUGAAAUUCGUAGAUAUUGGGAAGAACACCGGUGGCGAAGGCGGCGACCUGGGACGGUACUGACGCUGAGACGCGAAAGCGUGGGGAGCGAACAGG